rnacentral:rRNA from 1 species
GCGUCCCAUUAGUUAGUUGGUAAGGUAAUGGCUUACCAAGGCGAUGAUAGGUAGGCGGCCUUAACGGGUGGUCGCCCACACUGGGAUUGAGAUACGGCCCAGACUCCUACGGGAGGCAGCAGUCGAGAAUAGUCUACAAUGGCCGAAAGGCUGAUAGUGCGACGCCGCGUGAACGAAGAAGCCCUUCGGGGUGUAAAGUUCUUUUAUAUGUGAGCAAUGCUUCCUAUGUGAAUAGCAUGGGGAGAGCGAUAUUAGCAUAUGAAUAAGCAACGGCUAACUCCGUGCCAGCAGCCGCGGUAACACGGGGGUUGCGAGCGUUGUCCGGAAUUACUAGGCGUAAAGGGCAGGUAGGCGGAUAGAUAAGUUUUUUGUCAAAGGCGACGGCUCACCCGUCGUAAGGCAGGAGAUACUGUUUAUCUGGAAUGCGGUUGGGGAAGACAGAAUUCCUGGUGUAGCGGUGGAAUGCGCAGAGAUCAGGAGGAAUACCGAAGGCGAAGGCAGUCUUCUAAGCCGUUAUUGACGCUAAACUGCGAAGGUGUGGGUAUCAAACAGGAUUAGAUACCCUGGUAGUCCACACAGUAAACGAUGAUCACUAGGUGUCGGUGUCGUAGAGACUUCGGUGCCGUAGCUAACGCGAUAA